rnacentral:lncRNA from 10 species
AAAGAAGAGAGAGUGUGUGUGCAUGUUUGAAAAUUGCAGUCACUUUUCUUCUACAGCCAGAGGCUAUGAUGUCAGGAAGUAAAUGAUAGAAGAUGUCAGCUCUCCUAUCUAUAACCUCAGCUUUGCAGUUUCUCUGGGGGCCUCAUGCACUCUUACAGCUUCUUAAACAGGAAGUAGACCUGGCAAAAAAUUUAAGUGCGUUUUACACUUGAUAUACCACAGACUCGGCCAGAACAGUUCUAAACAGAAGACUUCACAGAAAUCCUGACACUUUGUUUUUUGCCAAAGAACAGUGUCUUUUUCAGAAAUGCUGAUUUUGGGAUCAUGGACAUUCUCCUUAAUUUCUCCUUAGCAAGUCUGUUGGAAGGAGGAAAUUGGUGCCUUUGAGCAGAUUAUCCCCCCCACACAACAGCGCUUGAUAAGGGACGGUAAGAAGCACAGGACACAAGAUAUGGAUGUGACAGUUGGCACUACAGGUCUCUCCAAAAGUAGGAAGUGCAAGGGCACAUGUGGAGCUGCCUAAAGUUUGCACAGAGAUAUUGCUCCAGAAACAGAAACCACACAGAAUUCCGCAGGCAUCUGAGCCUGGAGCAGCCUCAGCUGGGUGCCAUUUUGACCCCAGAUACUGGAGAUUUACAGACAUGGUUGCAGCCAUUGCACUGCUCCAAGGAGAGAGAAAGGAAAAUGGGUGCACUCAUGCACACUCAGGCAGGGACUUGCUCCCCUGCUACAAUCAUCUGUUGAGACUGAGACUCAAGUGGACCACACUUCCCACAGCUUCUUGCUCAUGCUGCCAGCCUGGGUGGUCCCUGGCUCUCUCUGGUCCCAAGCCCAAGGCUCUAUUUUGAGAGUUUAACUCUGGACUGUCCCCUAUCUUCAGCCUGAGCUCAGGCUGAUGCAGCUGCAACCACUGCCUGGCUAAGGAGGGACAGGGAGACCAGGUCAUCCUACUCAUAUCUAGGACGAUACUCACUGCUCUGCAACAGGCUGCUGUGAAACUGGCUGACAUGUGAGUGAACCACACUCCCCACAGCUUCUUGCCCAUACUGCUUGCCGGAGCAUUGCCCCAUUCUCCCUGGAUGUAAGCCCAAGGCAUCCUUUUGAGAGUUUAAUUCUAAGCUGCAUCUCACCAUCGCCAUGAGUAAACUAUGCAUUGGACCAAGGACUAAUAUCCAGAAUCUAUAAAGAACUUAAAGAAAUCAAGAAGAGGCCGGGCGCGGUGGCUCACGCCUGUAAUCCCAGCACUUUGGGAGGCCGAGGCGGGCGGAUCACGAGGUCAGGAGAUCGAGA